GAUGAACGCUAGCGGCAGGCUUAAUACAUGCAAGUCGAGGGGCAUCGGGGGUAGCAAUACCUGCCGGCGACCGGCAAACGGGUGCGGAACACGUACACAACCUUCCUUUUGGUGGGGGAUAGCCCAGAGAAAUUUGGAUUAAUACCCCGUAGUAUUAUUGGAUGGCAUCAUUUAAUAAUUAAAGAUUUAUUGCCAGAAGAUGGGUGUGCGUCUGAUUAGGUAGUUGGUAGGGGUAACGGCCCACCAAGCCUGCGAUCAGUAACUGGUGUGAGAGCACGACCAGUCACACGGGCACUGAGACACGGGCCCGACUCCUACGGGAGGCAGCAGUAAGGAAUAUUGGUCAAUGGACGCAAGUCUGAACCNGCCAUGCCGCGUGGAGGAUGAAGGUCCUCUGGAUU
rnacentral:rRNA from 1 species